rfam:Glossina brevipalpis unplaced genomic scaffold Scaffold12, whole genome shotgun sequence.
GGGCUAGGUUUAUUAUGUAGGCGCUGUGGAUGGUGAAUUGUGCAUGCUGCUGGUACGGGCCGGUAGUAUCUUUCGAAGAUUCCUAUCCCC